GCUGGGCAUGCUGGUGCAUGCCUGUAAUCCCAGCUACGUGGGAGGCUGAGGCAGGAGAAUAGCUUGAACCCAGGAGGCAGAGGUUGCAGUGAGUGGAGAUCAUGCCACUGCACUCCAGCUUGGGUAACAGAGUGAGACUCUGUCUCAA
rnacentral:SRP_RNA from 2 species